GCCAAAUUAAAGAAGGAUGUGAAGGUUAGGCUAAGAAGUGUGAUGAGCUUUAUUUAGGUAAUAGGCAAUGAGGAGAAAUUGAAACAUGAAGGAACAUAAUUUGAGGUGUGAUUAUUUGAGUUUUUAAAAUAUUAUCACUGUGCAUCAGAAUGGGUUAGGGAAGGCUUAAAUCCUGGAUGCUGGCUCAGCACCUAUUAGAGCAAUUAAAAUGAGAAAUGAUGCAGACUAAACUAGAAUUUCAGGUAAAAAUGGGAAAAAUAGGCGUUAAAAAAUGGUAUAAACGUUAAAAAACUACACUUGACUGAGUUAGAAUAUGGAGGAAAAGGAAGUAUGGAGAUCAAAAGAAAACAUCAGGAUUUGGGAGCUUGGACACAGGGGAAUGACAACGUAAAGGGAUUAUUUCAAAGAUAAUUUGGCAUAGACACUUCUAGACUCUCCUCUUCAUCUGUGUGUGGGUUUUGCUUUUCCAUCUUUUAUGGAGUAUGAUUUACUUUCAAAUCGCCUCUGAAGAAACCUAUUAGUCAGUCAACUGCAGAAAAACUUCUCCAUAAUAUCUACCUGGAAUAUAUCUUGCUUCCAUUCACCUUCUUCCUUUGUCAAUGACUCUCAGGAGGAAUACAGUCUUUGUCAGUCAUAAAGGAAGGAAGAGUCAAUGACAUAGGAUCCCAAACACGGCUAAAAUGUCUCAUAUCUAAUGCUGUACUCCCCCUCUUAACCAAAAUUUGUGUCAGGAAAAGGCACAAAACUCCACCAAAGGAUUACGGUACCUUAAUCCAAGGAAGUUGUAUAGAGGCUAGUAUUUAAAAUUGUCAUUUUGAUAGGCCCCACUAGUGGAUUUUAUCCCCUGUUAGGUUGGACAAUCCUCAGUAUAUACACCUUACUACACAAAGAUUUUCAUCAUAAUUUAUUGACUUUCUGCUAUGAGAGAUGAGUGUGCUCGUGUGACACCCAAUUAAACACUUAAUCCAUUCAAUUACAUGAAGUACAAAU
rnacentral:lncRNA from 1 species